GUAGGCCCAUCCCCUAAUGACUAUAGAUCUGCAGCUUUAACAAUAACUCUGCAGUGAGUCUCAUCUCAAACCUGAAAUAUGGUACCAAAACAUAGCUUCUUAUUCAAAACAAAAAAAAAAGUUUAAUUUUCCAAGAAAACAUUUCACAGCUGAAUUUCAUAGAGAGGCAAUACUUUAGGUCAUCAAGCAACUAGGCAUGAUAAUGUGGGAUGUGAGGGAAGUGGCAUGUUCAAUAGCAGUGGUAAAAUUUCAGAAUUUCAG
rnacentral:lncRNA from 1 species